rnacentral:rRNA from 1 species
UACGUAGGGUGCAAGCGUUGUCCGGAAUUAUUGGGCGUAAAGGGCUCGUAGGCGGUCCAUCGCGUCGGGAGUGAAAAGCUGGGGCUUAACCCCAGUCCUGCUUCCGAUACGGGUGGACUAGAGGUAUGCAGGGGAGAAUGGAAUUCCUGGUGUAGCGGUGAAAUGCGCAGAUAUCAGGAGGAACACCCGUGGCGAAGGCGGUUCUCUGGAACGGUACUGACGCUGAGACGCGAAAGCGUGGGGAGCGAACAGG